UGUUCAGCCAUUUUCCUUUAAACAAGCUAGAGAGCAGCAUGGUUUAAGUCCUCUCUUCAUCUUGCUCCAUCUGCCUGUGUGAUCCUUGGGGAAGCUUUGUUUCAGCACAGCAGAGUUUUAAAGGCAGGGAAAUGAAGCAGCAGAGGACGAGAGACACACAGUAACAGCCAGAGAGAGAGAGAGGCUGCCAAAGGGGAACAGCCUUUCCGCCGCAGGUCGACCAGGGUCCAGCCAUGACGGCGGAGAGUGAAGUCUCGCCCUGCAGAUCUGGUGUAAACCAUCUACAAGUGUUGAGUCAAAGCGACUGAGCGGAGACCAGCCGAGGUGAGGACGUGUCAGCUCUGAUCCUUCUCCGUCACAUCGGCCUGUGAUCUUAUCAGAGAGCGCAGGGCGGGGAUGGCGGCCAUCUUCUUUAGCAUUCAGCCUGUGAUCCCCGAGUUCCCAGAGCCCAGCGAGCCCCGGCUUUUGAGUGACUCGGAUGGGAAUGAGAUGUCAGUGUGCGUGUGAGGGCAGCAACACCUGCCAGCAUCAAUCACAAGACUCCAGCCCUGAGACCGGUGGACACACACACACACACACACAAACAGUUGUGUACUGACACACACAUAAAAACAAAUGUGUUAUCACAUCAAUGCUUUCACUCGGUGGUAACUGCUAUUUGGUGUUCAUCCAGCACGACAUGUUUACACAAAGGCAGUCACACACUUGCAGAAUAUAUUAAUAAAGUAUAUGGAUUUAAUUGAAAGUACCGUUACGCUUCUGUUCAGCACACAAACACACACUAAUACACACAUAAAUAGCUGCCUUUAAGCUCUCGCCGGCUUUUGACAGCGAGUGUUCUCUAUUUAUGCUUUAUUCACAUUUUAGUCACCUUGAAAGAGACAGCUGAAAACAAACACUUUAGGGAGCCAGACCAGAGAAUGGGGAAUAGUUUUCAGUAACCACAGGCUUCACACUGAGCUGAGUGAGUUGUCAGAUGGACUGUGCACUGGGAGCUUUUUUCAGAAUGUAGAUGAUCGCUUUGAACGCUCCUUUAACGCUAAAGAGCGAGCGAGUUAAGGUAGUAUGUAAGGCCUGUGAUUAUAAUUAUUUAAGCACAUUGCCAGGUUGUAAUUUCAACAGCUUGCUCAUUUGUGAAUAUAUUGACAUCAAACCACCCCUCAUCUGUCCUGGACAUCUCUCACAGCUUUCAAAGCUUUUAGUUGUUCUUUAUGUUCAAAUGUUUUUA